rnacentral:rRNA from 1 species
CCUACGGGUGGCAGCAGUAAGGAAUAUUGGUCAAUGGACGCAAGUCUGAACCAGCCAUGCCGCGUGGAGGAUGAAGGUCCUCUGGAUUGUAAACUUCUUUUAUUUGGGAAGAAACUCCCGAUUUCCAUCGGGAUUGACGGUACCAGAUGAAUAAGCACCGGCUAACUCCGUGCCAGCAGCCGCGGUAAUACGGAGGGUGCAGGCGUUAUCCGGAUUCACUGGGUUGUAAGGGUGCAUAGGUGGCAGUGUUGAAAGUUCCGGGCUUAACCCGGGAACUGCCAUUGAUACUAUUUGUCUUGAAUAAUCUGGAGGUGAGCGGAAUAUGUCAUGUAGCGGUGAAAUGCUUAGAUAUGACAUAGAACACCCAUUGCGAAGGCAGCUCACUACGGAAAUAUUGACGCUGAGGCACGAAAGCGUGGGGAGCAAACAGGAUUAGAUACCCUGGUAGUC